ACUUCUUACCAACUUAUUAGCAGUAGUUUUACACUUAUUUUGUUAAUAUAUGGUCAAAAAACCUAAUUGAUAUAAAAUUAUAACUAAUUUCUGAGUUAAAAAACCUGAAGUUAUGAAUUAUUAAAACUUAACAGCUAGUUAAAAUCA